AAUUAUUGGGCGUAAAGAGCUCGUAGGGCGGUUUGUCGCGUCUGCUGUGAAAUCCCGAGGCUCAACCUCGGGCUUGCAGUGGGUACGGGCAGACUAGAGUGCGGUAGGGGAGAUUGGAAUUCCUGGUGUAGCGGUGGAAUGCGCAGAUAUCAGGAGGAACACCGAUGGCGAAGGCAGAUCUCUGGGCCGUAACUGACGCUGAGGAGCGAAAGCAUGGGGAGCGAACAGGAUUAGAUACCCUGGUAGUCCAUGCCGUAAACGUUGGGCGCUAGAUGUAGGGACCUUUCCACGGUUUCUGUGUCGUAGCUAACGCAUUAAGCGCCCCGCCUGGGGAGUACGGCCGCAAGGCUAAAACUCAAAGGAAUUGACGGGGGCCCGCACAAGCGGCGGAGCAUGCGGAUUAAUUCGAUGCAACGCGAAGAACCUUACCAAGGCUUGACAUACACCGGAAACGGCCAGAGAUGGUCGCCCCCUUGUGGUCGGUGUACAGGUGGUGCAUGGUUGUCGUCAGCUCGUGUCGUGAGAUGUUGGGUUAAGUCCCGCAACGAGCGCAACCCUCGUUCUAUGUUGCCAGCGGGUUAUGCCGGGGACUCAUAGGAGACUGCCGGGGUCAACUCGGAGGAAGGUGGGGAUGACGUCAAAUCAUCAUGCCCCUUAUGUCUUGGGCUUCACGCAUGCUACAAUGGCCGGUACAAAGGGCUGCGAUACCGUAAGGUGGAGCGAAUCCCAAAAAGCCGGUCUCAGUUCGGAUUGAGGUCUGCAACUCGACCUCAUGAAGUCGGAGUCGCUAGUAAUCGCAG
rnacentral:rRNA from 2 species